rnacentral:rRNA from 1 species
CGUGAAGCUGGAUUCGCUAGUAAUCGCGCAUCAGCCAUGGCGCGGUGAAUACGUUCCCGGGCCUUGUACACACCGCCCGUCAAGCCAUGGGAGCCGGGGGGUGCUUGAAGUGCGUCGCCGCAAGGCGCGCCCUAGAGCAAAACCGAUGACUGGGGCUAAGUCGUAACAAGGUAUC